UACGUAGGGGGCAAGCGUUAUCCGGAUUUACUGGGUGUAAAGGGAGCGCAGGCGGUCUUGCAAGUCUGAUGUGAAAGCCCGCGGCUCAACUGCGGGACUGCAUUGGAAACUGUGGGACUUGAGUGUCGGAGGGGCAAGUGGAAUUCCUAGUGUAGCGGUGAAAUGCGUAGAUAUUAGGAGGAACACCAGUGGCGAAGGCGGCUUGCUGGACGACAACUGACGCUGAGGCUCGAAAGCGUGGGGAGCAAACAGG
rnacentral:rRNA from 1 species